GAUGAACGCUGGCGGCGUGCCUAAUACAUGCAAGUCGAGCGAAUGGAUUAAGAGCUUGCUCUUAUGAAGUUAGCGGCGGACGGGUGAGUAACACGUGGGUAACCUGCCCAUAAGACUGGGAUAACUCCGGGAAACCGGGGCUGAUACCGGAUAACAUUUUGAACCGCAUGGUUCGAAAUUGAAAGGCGGCUUCGGCUGUCACUUAUGGAUGGACCCGCGUCGCAUUAGCUAGUUGGUGAGGUAACGGCUCACCAAGGCAACGAUGCGUAGCCGACCUGAGAGGGUGAUCGGCCACACUGGGACUGAGACACGGCCCAGACUCCUACGGGAGGAAGCAGUAGGGAAUCUUCCGCAAUGGACGAAAGUCUGACGGAGCACCGCCGCGUGAGUGAUGAAGGCUUUCGGGUCGUAAAACUCUGUUGUUAGGGAAGAACAAGUGCUAGUUGAAUAAGCUGGCACCUUGACGGUACCUAACCAGAAGGCCACGGCUAACUACGUGCCAGCCGCCGCCGUAA
rnacentral:rRNA from 1 species